UCAAAUGUUUUUCAAGUGUUUAGUACAUAGAGUUUCGUAUAGUAGUACAGUCGAUGUUAAAAGUAUUAUUCCAAGCACAAUGCCUUGUAUUAAAUGUAGUCUACUAGAAGCUAUUUAUAAUUUUAUAAUUAAAUUAGACAAAAUUGAACAUUCAAAUAUAGAAAAAUCUACAUCUAAAACAAAACUUGAGGAAUCUUUUGAAGAAGUUCUACACCAGACAAAAGAAUUACAAAAUGUAAAGAAUCUAAAAAUUGCACAACCCAUUUGGUCAAUUACACUGGAAUAAGUAGAAGAGGGGGUAUGUUUUAUACUCAAGAUUAUAAAAAUAGUCAAGACCAGCUAAUUCUUGAUGAAAAACAGUGGCGUACUCUGAUGGAAUUUCAAAUAUUCAACAACAUUGUGAACACAAUUCAAAACAAUGCAAAGCGAAUACAAUUAGGUUCAGAUUUUAGUUGUACUACUAACCCUAAAACAGAUUCAGUGAUAUUACGUAAUAAAAAUGAACGUAUGAAA